CUCCCAAGAAGCUGGGACUAUAGGCGUGCACCACCAUGCCCAGACCCCAGAAAUGCCAACGAUCCAGCUUCAAUGAUGCAAAUGAAGACCUCAGGGAACAACAGAGUAAUGAGAGAAGGAACCUAGGUCCCUGAAUGACUCUGGAGCAGAUAUGCCCCAGACAUUUUACCAUGCCCCGUACCUCCAACGAGGCGAAGAGGACACAGACACAACAGAGGAAAGACCAUGUGAUCACACAGGGAGAAGAUGGUAAUCUGCAAGCAAUGUACAGGGACCUCAGAAGGAACAAACCCUGCCGGCACCUUGAUCUUGGACCUCCAGCCUUCAGGACUGUGAGAAAAUAAAUGUCUGUU